rnacentral:rRNA from 1 species
AGUGUUAGCUCCGGCUCAGGACGAACGCUGGCGGCGUGCCUAACACAUAGCAAGUCGAACGGAGCUAGAUGCUGAGGACGUAGCUUGCUAUUGAAUCUUGUUUAGCUUAGUGGCGGACGGGUGAGUAACGCGUGAGCAACCUACCUUUCAGAGGGGGAUAACGUUUGGAAACGAACGCUAAUACCGCAUGAUAUUAUUGGGCAGCAUUGCCUGAUAAUCAAAGGAGCAAUCCGCUGAAAGAUGGGCUCGCGUCCGAUUAGGUAGUUGGCGGGGUAACGGCCCACCAAGCCGACGAUCGGUAGCCGGACUGAGAGGUUGAACGGCCACAUUGGGACUGAGACACGGCCCAGACUCCUACGGGAGGCAGCAGUGAGGGAUAUUGGUCAAUGGGGGAAACCCUGAACCAGCAACGCCGCGUGAGGGAAGACGGUUUUCGGGUUGUAAACCUCUGUCCUCUGUGAAGAUGAUGACGGUAGCAGAGGAGGAAGCUCCGGCUAACUACGCG